rnacentral:rRNA from 1 species
CCUGCAGUCGAGGGGUUAGUAGCAAUACUAGAGACCGGCGCACGGGUGCGUAACGCGUAUGCAAUCUACCUUUUACAGAGGGAUAGCCCAGAGAAAUUUGGAUUAAUACCUCAUAGUAUAAUGACUCGGCAUCGAGAUGUUAUUAAAGUUACAACGGUAAAAGAUGAGCAUGCGUCCCAUUAGCUAGUUGGUGUGGUAACGGCAUACCAAGGCAACGAUGGGUAGGGGUCCUGAGAGGGAGAUCCCCCACACUGGUACUGAGACACGGACCAGACUCCUACGGGAGGCAGCAGUGAGGAAUAUUGGUCAAUGGGCGCAAGCCUGAACCAGCCAUGCCGCGUGCAGGAUGACGGUCCUAUGGAUUGUAAACUGCUUUUGUACAGGAAGAAACACUCCCUCGUGAGGGAGCUUGACGGUACUGUAAGAAUAAGGAUCGGCUAACUCCGUGCCAGCAGCCGCGGUAAUACGGAGGAUCCAAGCGUUAUCCGGAAUCAUUGGGUUUAAAGGGUCCGUAGGCGGGUUUAUAAGUCAGUGGUGAAAGCCCAUCGCUCAACGAUGGAACGGCCAUUGAUACUGUAGAUCUUGAAUUAUUAGGAAGUAACUAGAAUAUGUAGUGUAGCGGUGAAAUGCUUAGAGAUUACAUGGAAUACCAAUUGCGAAGGCAGGUUACUACUAAUGGAUUGACGCUGAUGGACGAAAGCGUGGGUAGCGAACAGGAUUAGAUACCCUGGUAGUCCACGCCGUAAACGAUGGAUACUAGCUGUUCGGAGCAAUCUGAGUGGCUAAGCGAAAGUGAUAAGUAUCCCACCUGGGGAGUACGUUCGCAAGAAUGAAACUCAAAGGAAUUGACGGGGGCCCGCACAAGCGGU